AGCAGCCGCGGUAAUUCCAGCUCCAAUAGCGUAUAUUAAAGUUGUUGCAGUUAAAAAAGCUCGUAGUUGAAUUUCGGGGUUCUUCCGUUGGUCAGGCUAACCAGUCUGUACUAGCGUGUAGAACCCCUACCUUCUGGGGAACUAUCAUGUUAUUAAUUUAGCGUGGUGGGAAACCAGGACCUUUACCUUGAAAAAAUUAGAGUGUUCAAAGCAGGCUUACGUCUGAAUACAUUAGUAUGGAAUAAUAAAAUAGGACGGUGGUCCUGUUUUGUUGGUUUCUGAAUCACCGUAAUGAUUAAUAGGGAUAGUUGGG
rnacentral:rRNA from 1 species